rnacentral:rRNA from 1 species
GACAGAGGUGCCAAGCGUUAGGCGGAAUCACUGGGCUUAAAGGCGUGUGUAGGCGGAUCGUUAAGUACCUUGUGAAAUCCCAGCGGCUUAACCUGGAACGGCUGGGUAAUACUGGCGAUCUUGAGCCACCUAGGGGCGAGCGGAACAAAUGGUGGAGCGGUGAAAUGCGUAGAUAUCAUUGGAACGCCAACGGUGAAAACAGCUCGCUGGGGGUGUGCUGACGCUGGAGACACGAAGGCCAGGGGAGGCGAAACGGGG